rnacentral:lncRNA from 1 species
UAACAUAAAAACAUAGGUCUUGAAUUAAAACUAAAAAUUAAACAAUUUUGUCAUCAUCCAAUACAUGAAAAUAUUUAGCCUAACAUAAUGUUGGGAUUAAAUAAAUAAAAGUGGAAGGAAGUCACCGAAAUUUGACGGGACAUGAUUAACUCCACGAAAUUUAUCCACUUUUGCGCGCUCACGGCUUGACUAGGUAGAUAUAUUUUUCCCCAAUUGGUGUGUAAUCAAACUCCCAGCAGCCGCCUUUUCAACGUGUCUUCUGGUCAAUUGCGUGUGUUGUAUCAGUAAAAAAAAAAAUCAGCCCAAUGUUUGUAUAAUCUCAACCAAUUGGCAGCCGUCUCCUCCUCCUUCUAGCCGUCUUUUUCUAUAUUCCUCUUCCCCCAGUUCUGCCAAUGUUUCCACACACACACACACACAUAUCCAGUUUCCCCCAAGCAGCUGCUUUAAUUUAUAUGUAAAAUAAUUCAAUCCAAUUGCUAAUUUGUCCCCCUCUUCUGCCGGUUUUGUUGACUUCAAAAGAGUAAAAUUCUAACUGUUUCUUUUCUCUCAGCAAUUGUAUUAAUUUAGCAGUCCUUUUUCAAUCCAAUUUCAGUCGCCAUUUUUUUCCAGAAUUUCCCCAAGUUGGCUGCCUUAUUAAUGGUUUUGUCUCCAAAAAAUUCUCCACCUUUUUCCUUCAAUUGGCUGCCAUGAAUAUAUAAUUCACCAAUAGCCUCUAGCCUUCCUUCAAUGUUUUUUUUUUUUUUU